CCGUAUCAGACGACGACACGUCAUGCGAUGCAUGCGCAUGUCGUGCACGUGCAUGGUAUGUCGUACGUAUGCAGGUAUGUUGAUUGCAACUUCAAUACCAUAUUCACCUGCUAAUUUAUUUAGGCAAGGAAUUCCUUGGGUAGUUCGAGCUACCUAAUGCGGCAUAUUGGGGAGAAGUCAAACCUGUAUUCUAGGCAUGUCAAUUGCAAGCUGACAUCGACAACAGAAGGCAGCAGCAGGCAGGCAACCAGCCAUCUGUAGUAGCCAUCCCUUAUUAUUGUAGGCAAAUGAGUGAUCACAUCCAUAGAUGUGGAUGUGAUCAGUUGGCCAACUGUGCAUGCAUAUGCCGUGUAGCAGGCCGACAGGAAGGUGUUCAACCGGUUGAGCACCUAUAUAGGUAUAUAUACCUAGCUAGGUACCAGGCCUGAUCAUGAUACCAGGCACAGAGGGUGGUCAAGCAGAAUUGAGGAUUUAAGGGUUUGGGCACCCAGUCAUCUGCAGCUGGAUGUACUAGCCAUCCCUUACCCUUAGGUGAAUGGGUGAUCACAUUUUCUUUAUUCAGCCGUGAAGCAGGCUGAGAGAAAGGUGUUCAACCACGGAGUAUAUAUGGUCAAGUGGCAAAAGUAAAUAUCAAGAUAUGUGGAUAGUAAGAGUCAGGAGACAUAAUAACAAAGGAAUUUUGGUGCUAACAGAGUCUUGAACUUCAAACACCAGUAUAGUGAUAUUUAAAGUGUCUGGCCUAAGCACCUUUACCAGGUGGAUUAUAUAUGGCUCACCUAUUGCUAUCUAUCUACUCCAUUCCUGGAGUCAUGGUCUGGUGAUAUGAUGGUCAUCCUGUCGCGAGGUGUGUGUGCUUGUGUGUGCCAUGGCCAUAUGGCCAUGCAUGGCACAGUAAAACUUUAGAUCAUGAUCACCUACGUAUACGUAGGUGAUGCAUCACCUGGGACAGUCCCUACCUAUUAUACGAGAGUGUCGCUUAUAUAUAGGUGAUCGAAAGGUUUACUGU
rnacentral:lncRNA from 1 species